rfam:Glossina fuscipes fuscipes unplaced genomic scaffold Scaffold71, whole genome shotgun sequence.
ACACAAUGAUGAAUUUGACUAGUUCUGCUACUGAACCUCUUGUGAAGAGGACAAAAAUACCAAAAAUUCUGAUAA